rnacentral:rRNA from 1 species
UACUUAACACAUGCAAGUCGGACGAGAAAGGGGACUUCGGUCCCUGAGUACAGUGGCGCACGGGUGCGCAACACGUAAGUCAUCUACCCCACACUCUGGGAUAACCGCCCGAAAGGGGGGCUAAGACUAGAUAGGGUCCCCGAGGUCACCACCGCGGGGGGAAAACGAGCCUCUGAUAUAUGCUCGUGGUGUGGGAUGAGCUUGCGGCCCAUUAGCUAGUUGGUGGGGUAAAGGCCUACCAAGGCGACGAUGGGUAGCUGGUCUGAGAGGAUGAUCAGCCACACUGGCACUGAGACACGGGCCAGACUCCUACGGGAGGCAGCAGUGGGGAAUUUUGCGCAAUGGGCGAAAGCCUGACGCAGUAACGCCGCGUGGAGGAUGAAGGCCUUCGGGUUGUAAACUCC